rnacentral:rRNA from 1 species
UGCCGCGUGAGUGAUGAAGGCCUUAGGGUUGUAAAGCUCUUUCAGUAGGGAAGAUAAUGACGGUACCUACAGAAGAAGCCCCGGCUAACUUCGUGCCAGCAGCCGCGGUAAUACGAAGGGGGCUAGCGUUGUUCGGAUUUACUGGGCGUAAAGCGCACGUAGGCGGAUCGUUAAGUCGGGGGUGAAAUCCUGGAGCUCAACUCCAGAACUGCCUUCGAUACUGGCGAUCUUGAGUCCGGAAGAGGUGAGUGGAACUCCUAGUGUAGAGGUGGAAUUCGUAGAUAUUAUGAAGAACACCAGUGGCGAAGGCGGCUCACUGGUCCGGUACUGACGCUGA